AUCCAACUGGCAAGUCCCAAAUAGGAAGAAACGCGUGUCCUGGAU
rfam:Schistosoma haematobium scaffold756_42, whole genome shotgun sequence.